rnacentral:rRNA from 1 species
GUCCUGGCCCUAAACGGUGUUCACUUGGUGUGCGGGGAGUCGACCCCCUGCGUGCCGUAGCCAACGCGAUAAGUGAACCGCCUGGGAAGUACGACCGCAAGGUUAAAACUCAAAGAAAUUGACGGGGGCCCGCACAAGCGGUGGAGCAUGUGGCUUAAUUCGAUGCAACGCGAAGAACCUUACCUGGCCUUGACAUGCUGGUAGUAGAAGCCGGAAACGGUGACGAGCCUCGCAAGAGGAGAGCCAGCACAGGUGCUGCAUGGUUGUCGU